rnacentral:rRNA from 1 species
CACAUGCAAGUCGAGGGGCAGCAUGGUCUUAGCUUGCUAAGCCCGAUGGCGACCGGCGCACGGGUGAGUAACACGUAUCCAACCUGCCGUCUACUCUUGGACAGCCUUCUGAAAGGAAGAUUAAUACAAGAUGGCAUCAUGAGUCCACAUGUUCACAUGAUUAAAGGUAUUCCGGUAGACGAUGGGGAUGCGUUCCAUUAGAUAGUAGGCGGGGUAACGGCCCACCUAGUCUUCGAUGGAUAGGGGUUCUGAGAGGAAGGUCCCCCACAUUGGAACUGAGACACGGUCCAAACUCCUACGGGAGGCAGCAGUGAGGAAUAUUGGUCAAUGGGCGAGAGCCUGAACCAGCCAAGUAGCGUGAAGGAUGACUGCCCUAUGGGUUGUAAACUUCUUUUAUAAAGGAAUAAAGUCGGGUAUGGAUACCCGUUUGCAUGUACUUUAUGAAUAAGGAUCGGCUAACUCCGUGCCAGCAGCCGCGGUAAUACGGAGGAUCCGAGCGUUAUCCGGAUUUAUUGGGUUUAAAGGGAGCGUAGAUGGAUGUUUAAGUCAGUUGUGAAAGUUUGCGGCUCAACCGUAAAAUUGCAGUUGAUACUGGAUAUCUUGAGUGCAGUUGAGGCAGGCGGAAUUCGUGGUGUAGCGGUGAAAUGCUUAGAUAUCACGAAGAACUCCGAUUGCGAAGGCAGCCUGCUAAGCUGCAACUGACAUUGAGGCU